UCCAGACUCCUACGGGAGGCAGCAGUGGGGGAUAUUGCACAAUGGGGGAAACCCUGAUGCAGCGACGCCGCGUGAGUGAAGAAGUAUUUCGGUAUGUAAAGCUCUAUCAGCAGGGAAGAAAAAAGACGGUACCUGACUAAGAAGCCCCGGCUAACUACGUGCCAGCAGCCGCGGUAAUACGUAGGGGGCAAGCGUUAUCCGGAUUUACUGGGUGUAAAGGGAGCGUAGACGGCAAUACAAGUCGGAAGUGAAAUACCCGGGCUUAACCUGGGAACUGCUUUGGAAACUGUAUGGCUGGAGUGCUGGAGAGGUAAGCGGAAUUCCUAGUGUAGCGGUGAAAUGCGUAGAUAUUAGGAGGAACACCAGUGGCGAAGGCGGCUUACUGGACAGUAACUGACGUUGAGGCUCGAAAGCGUGGGGAGCAAACAGGAUUAGAUACCCGUGUAU
rnacentral:rRNA from 1 species